AGAGGAGAGGCAGGGGAGGAGGACGAGGAGGGAGGAAGGGAGGCAGGAGGAGCGAGGGGCUCCGAGAAAGGGGACAUGUCCCCCUCCAAAAGGUCUUCCCCUUGCCCCAAAAUCGCUCCUUUAUUUACCAUUCCGCCCUGCUCUGCUUUAGCCUUUGCUUUCUGGCCUCUGUUUUGUGAUUCGCCAUGAGUUCUUUUGUGUUCCUUUUGGUUUCUGUUUUGUGGCCCCGGGAAAUUUUUUUUCCGAGAAGGAGUUUUCCGUUUGUUGGUCGAAAGCAAAAGAGUUUCUGUGUCACUAUUUUACGUUUUUAUGUGAAAGUUUUGGUCUUCUUCUGGCAGAUUAUGUUUGUGUUGUGCGUCUUGGCUUGUUGAUUUCCUCUUCUUCCUUGUAAUAUAUGUUCUGGGAUCUGUUUGAUGGGUUGGAUUUGUGUCCGUGGUCUCUUCAUCCUAAUGAUCUCUCUCUCUCUCUCUCUNUCUCUCUCUCUCUCUCUCU
rnacentral:lncRNA from 1 species